rnacentral:ncRNA from 1 species
UUGAGCCGUAUGCAGUGAAAGUUGCACGUACGAUUCUUAGAAGGGCGGCACUUGGUAACAGGUGUCGCCUAUCCGACAAAAACGUGUUUAGAAGGCGAUUUCUU